rnacentral:rRNA from 1 species
GACAGAGGUCCCGAGCGUUAGGCGGAAUCACUGGGCUUAAAGCGUGUGUAGGCGGACUUCUAAGUACCUUGUGAAAUCCCACGGCUUAACCGUGGAACUGCUGGGUAUACUGGUUGUCUUGGGCCAUCUAGGGGCUACUGGAACAAACGGUGGAGCGGUGAAAUGCGUAGAUAUCGUUCGGAACGCCAAUGGUGAAAACAAGUAGCUGGGGAUGUGCCGACGCUGAGACACGAAAGCCAGGGGAGCGAACGGG